rnacentral:rRNA from 1 species
CAAGCAUAUCAAUAAGCGGAGGAAAAGAAACCAACAGGGAUUGCCCUAGUAACGGCGAGUGAAGCGGCAACAGCUCAAAUUUGAAAUCUGGCCUUACGGUCCGAAUUGUAAUUUGUAGAGGAUGCUUUGGGCGCGGUGCCUUCCGAGUUCCUUGGAACAGGACGCCUUAGAGGGUGAGAGCCCCGUACGGUUGGACACCAAGCCUAUGUAAAGCUCCUUCGACGAGUCGAGUAGUUUGGGAAUGCUGCUCUAAAUGGGAGGUAAAUUUCUUCUAAAGCUAAAUACCGGCCAGAGACCGAUAGCGCACAAGUAGAGUGAUCGAAAGAUGAAAAGUACUUUGAAAAGAGGGUUAAAUAGCACGUGAAAUUGUUGAAAGGGAAGCAUUUAUGACCAGACCUUUGCUAGGCGGAUCAUCCGGUGUUCUUCACCGGUGCACUUCGUCUAGCUUAGGCCAGCAUCGAUUUCUGUAGGGGGAUAAAGGUCUAGGGAACGUAGCUCUCUCCGGAGAGUGUUAUAGCCCUAGGCGCAAUACCUUUACGGGGAUCGAGGUUCGCGCUUCGGCAAGGAUGCUGGCAUAAUGGUCAUCAAUGACCCGUCUUGAAACACGGACCAAGGAGUCGAACAUUUAUGCGAGUGUUUGGGUGUUAAACCCUCACGCGUAAUGAAAGUGAACGGAGGUGAGAGCCCUUAAGGGUGCAUCAUCGACCGAUCCUGAUGUCUUCGGAUGGAUUUGAGUAAGAGCAUAACUGUUCGGACCCGAAAGAUGGUGAACUAUGCGUGGAUAGGGUGAAGCCAGAGGAAACUCUGGUGGAGGCUCGCAGCGGUUCUGACGUGCAAAUCGAUCGUCAAAUCUGCGCAUGGGGGCGAAAGACUUAUCGAACCAUCUAGUAGCUGGUUACCGCCGAAGU